UUACUAUAUCUCUAUCUCUAUAGGUAACACUCGGUCUCGUUACUAUUACAUGUAUCUCUAUAGGUAACACUCGGUCUCGUUACUAUUACUGUAUCUCUAUAGGAAACAUUCGGUCGUUCUUGUUAGUUAAAACAUUUGGUCGCUCUCAUUACUAUUAUCAAAGGGUGAAUUGGAUGUUCCGUUUAGUCAAUAAUAUGAUAAUGUAAUUUAUACUUUUUAAAAAUACAUCAAAUGUUAAAUACAUGUAAACAGAAACAAAAUGUCUUUCUUUGUUGUUUUAUCGAAUGAGGAAUGAUUGCUACAAUCAUCAUCGAAAAAAUGGCAUAACCCGCUAAUUGUUUUCCUGCCAUGCUUGCUACCUCCAUCACCCGAUAAAAUAACAAAGAUGUUUGAAUUGGCACACCAGGUAGACCUGAAGCGUGAAUGAAGACCUUUGAAAAGUACACACAUAAUCCGCUGAUGGUGAUUUAAAAAAAAAUACUUUCUUUCAUUUCCCCCCAGUAGACAGGUAUAUCAAUUAUUCUGCCAUGAAUCGCUAUUUGAACACCUGUAUUUAUAAGUGUAAUUCUAAUAUUUUUUUCUUUAAAUGAUUUGCUUGUUAUGAUGCACUUUUAAAAACUUCACAUGCGUUUCCUUGGGAACAGUUUUUUUUAAAUGCUUGAAAUUCUAGCGGUCGAUUUAAUGCUUUGCAUCAAAAUUGUCUUGUUUAUUUUUUAUUAUUUUAGAAAGCACAGCCUAGCUGUUUACAUGUCCGAUCUCUUCCCUGAGAACUACACAGCAAGUACGAUAAACUGUACUCUGUCAGCCAUCCUAUAUACGUCUCCACAUCAGUGAGAGAUUCUCGAGGGGGACGUUAAACAAUAUAUAAUCAAUCAAUCUAUCUAUUCUAUAUUGCCCCCCGAAUUCACUUAGUGAAUCUCGUUAGGUCAAAAGGUCACGUAUCGUGGGCUUUCGAUAAGUACUGGUUUGACAAUAUUUCCAGUUGAUUAUAGAUAUAUUUUGUGUGUUGCAAACAAUGGUAAAAUACUUUUAUAAUACAUGUACUAUAUUGAAAAAUUAUAACGAUACAUUGCAUGACUUACACUUAAGUUACUGUGAUUUAAAACAUUGAGUUAAUAUCAAUGUUGACAAGAGUGAUAUUGGCUGACUUAGAUUUAGUAAAUAACACCAGUGUACAUUGACUAACUUAGAUUAAGUUAAUCUGUAGUUGACAGCAGUCUACAUUGACUUGCAGACCUAGGUAAGACCUGCACUCGAAAGUAAUGUAUUUAUAUGUAUUACUAAACAAACAUAUUGACAGAAUUUAUAAGCACGCUUUAACAUCAAUUAUAUGAUUUAUGUUCUUUGAAAAGGGUAAAUGGAUUUCAAAAGUGAUUUGUUGUAAUGGGAGAAAAAAGGAAAGAAAAACGAUAGCGCUCAUCUUGAUAUAGAUACUCGUCGAAAGGGGUUUCAUCGCUAAAGAUCAAAAAAAAUUUGAGAUAUCGUCCUUAUAUGGUGGGAUCCAUUUCAUUUUUGUUGAUCCAAGAAUUUGAUCACUGAUACUGGGGAAGAAGGGCGGAUUUGUGUUGAUAUGACGUGUCACCUGAAGUAUAAAACAGACACUUGUUUUAAGUGGCGAAUCUAGACGGGGUUACAAACCCCAAUGGGUUGGAAAUUUUUAAAAAGUAAUUUUUUUACCAUUUUGGGGUCUUCAACUCUACCCCACCCCUUUCUUGGGCGACAAAGUUUCAAACCUGAUCAGUCGCAACACCGCCUUUGAAAAGUUUCUGGAUCCGCCACUAAUUUUUGUUUAUGUCCAACAACAGCUUUCAAGCAUCAGGUACCUGAAGCGAUAGUUAGCGGAGAAUGCAUGUGCAACAGCCGUCAGGGACAAACAGUCUGAUGGUUAUCUAUGUUUAUCCGUUGCUAAUGUGAUGUUACGUAAGCAUUUGAGGGUAAGAGCAAAGUGGCAACCAGGGAGAUUACAUUCAAAACAACAAGAGUAACAGUGUAUUGUCCACAGAAUGCCAAUACCAUGACGUGUGGACGUUUAGGUAAAUGUAAUUGCUCCAUCGAUUUGAUUUCACACAUUACAAGAACAUGUACAUGUUAAUGGCAAGGAUCCAAAAAUAAUUCACUUUCGCCUGUAUGUAUAUAUAUGUAUAUACAUGUACAUGAAAAGUUUGCAGUUAUUGAAUGCUUCUCAAGACGAUAGGUUUGACGAUACAAAGCGGGGUAACUUGAACCUUACGAAUGGAGUCGACAGGAAAAAAUUGAAAAAUGAAAAAAAUGUUCACACCGGAAAAUGUUCCUUGUGUAAUGUCGAAUUAUCAGAUCACAUAUCUUUACUCUUGAUUAAAUCUGCAAAUUCAAAAUUGUUGAGACACAGGAAAGGAAAAACACAAUUUCCUGAUUAAACACUUGUUACAAUGUUACCAAACACAUGUUCAGUGCAUUGAGAUAACACAUUUGAGGCUACGUGUUGUAAUGUGCACAACCAAAAACCUGAUAUAAAACAUGCAACGAUUAGAGUAUUUUCUUACAUUUGAGCGCUUACAGAAAACAGGAAAUUCGAAAGAUUUAGACAGUUUUAAAACCAUGUGUAGUCAAUGAUGUCCCCGACGUCAAAAGUGAUAAGGAAAUAAUUAGUAAGGUUUCUUGACAGUCAGUCAUUGGACAGCCAUUUACUUACAACUUGUGUAUGUGUGUGUAAACCAAAAACUUCACAAUCGGUUCCUGAGAUCGCAACGUAGAAGGAACAAACGAUUUUUAAAUGAUGUAAGAAAGAGAUUAUAAAUAUCAAAAGAAACACGGUCCUACGAGCCAGAAGUGCACUCAUUAAGCAGAAGUGCAGUAAACCUCUAUCAUUUUGAGGUCAUGUCUUCCGGAUGAUAAUUCUGCGAUACAUCAAAAUGAUGUCCGAUAAUUUGAAAAACAGCUGAAGAAUACACAUAAAAGCAGGGACGUUUUCUUUUGUACGAGUCCUAAACCACGAUAAGAGUCCACAAUGGUGUUUUAUUAUCAUGGCGAGUAAAUUGCCAAAAAAAAAAAAAAAAAAAAAAAAGAAGAAGAAAAAAAAGAAAGAGAGAUGACAAUCGUGACCCGAGAACUAUGCAUGCAUGUCUUACCACAUCAUAACAACUGAAAAGCGGCGGGUGUCCCGAACAGGCGUAAUCGAUGAGUUCUAUCGUAAUCAAACCCAAAUCUCGACGGAUAUAUGGUAUUUCCCUCUUGUAUAAAUUGUAUAGCGUAUUGAAAUAAUAAUACUUUAAAAAUUC